rnacentral:rRNA from 1 species
CCUACGGGGAGCAGCAGUGAGGAAUAUUGGUCAAUGGACGAGAGUCUGAACCAGCCAAGUAGCGUGAAGGAUGACUGCCCUAUGGGUUGUAAACUUCUUUUAUAAAGGAAUAAAACGAGGCACGUGUGCCUUUUUGCAUGUACUUUAUGAAUAAGGAUCGGCUAACUCCGUGCCAGCAGCCGCGGUAAUACGGAGGAUCCGAGCGUUAUCCGGAUUUAUUGGGUUUAAAGGGAGCGUAGAUGGGUUGUUAAGUCAGUUGUGAAAGUUUGCGGCUCAACCGUAAAAUUGCAAUUGAUACUGGCAGUCUUGAGUACAGUUGAGGUAGGCGGAAUUCGUGGUGUAGCGGUGAAAUGCUUAGAUAUCACGAAGAACUCCGAUUGCGAAGGCAGCUUACCGGAGCGCAACUGACGCGCAUGCACGAAAGCGUGGGUAUCGAACAGGAUUAGAUACCCGAGUAGUC